UAUUUUUGACCAACCAAAAUAAUCUAUCUAUGAACAACCCACAACCCGUGAGCCACCAAUAUGGGAUUCUCCUUCAAGACAUAGUUCCACUUUUCUUAGAGCUGCAUCCUCACGACCCUGCCUCCAACAACAAAGCCGCCGCCGUUAGCAGUGCCCAUUCCGGCACCGGCACCGUCACCGUCACCGCCGCCAACAACAACGCCAUCAGCAGUUCCGACGACGUCGCACGAGCGCUGCACCUCCGCUGCUGACGCACACAGCCCCUCCGCCGAG
rnacentral:lncRNA from 1 species